rnacentral:tRNA from 1 species
GAUAUAAUGGCAGAUUAGUGCAUUAGGUUUAAACCCUAAAAAUGAAUAAUAAUAAUAAUUCUUGUAUCA